AUAAGCUUGAUUCCUACGGGAGGCAGCAGUGAGGAAUAUUGCGCAAUGGGCGAAAGCCUGACGCAGCCACGCCGCGUGCCGGAAGAAGGUUCUUUGAAUCGUAAACGGCUUUUGUCGGGGAAGAAUGGCCUGGAUUCGUCCGGGUUUGACGGUACCCGUUGAAUAAGCACCGGCUAACUCCGUGCCAGCAGCCGCGGUAAUA
rnacentral:rRNA from 1 species